CCCAGACUCCUACGGGAGGCAGCAGUGGGGAAUAUUGCGCAAUGGGCGAAAGCCUGACGCAGCGACGCCGCGUGAGGGAUGAAGGUCUUCGGAUCGUAAACCUCUGUCAGCAGGGAAGAACGGUCACUGUGCUAAUCAGCAGUGAAUUGACGGUACCUGCAAAGGAAGCACCGGCUAACUCCGUGCCAGCAGCCGCGGUAAUACGGAGGAUGCGAGCGUUAUCCGGAUUUAUUGGGUUUAAAGGGUGCGUAGGCGGGAUGCCAAGUCAGCGGUAAAAAUGCGGUGCUCAACGCCGUCGAGCCGUUGAAACUGGCGUUCUUGAGUGGGCGAGAAGUAUGCGGAAUGCGUGGUGUAGCGGUGAAAUGCAUAGAUAUCACGCAGAACUCCGAUUGCGAAGGCAGCAUACCGGCGCUCAACUGACGCUGAGGCACGAAAGCGUGGGGAUCGAACAGGAUUAGAUACCCUGGUACG
rnacentral:rRNA from 1 species